rnacentral:rRNA from 1 species
GACGAACGCUGGCGGCGUGCUUAACACAUGCAAGUCGAACGGAAAGGCCCUGCUUGCAGGGUACUCGAGUGGCGAACGGGUGAGUAACACGUGGGUGAUCUGCCCUGCACUUCGGGAUAAGCCUGGGAAACUGGGUCUAAUACCGGAUAGGAGCCAUUUUUAGUGUGAUGGUUGGAAAGUUUUUUCGGUGUAGGAUGAGCUUGCGGCCUAUCAGCUUGUUGGUGGGGUAAUGGCCUACCAAGGCGGCGACGGGUAGCCGGCCUGGGAGGGUGGACGGCCACAUUGGGACUGAGAUACGGCCCAGACUCCUACGCGAGGCAGCAGUGGGGGAUAUGGCACAAUGGGCGCAAGCCUGAUGCAGCGACGCCGCGUGGGGGAUGACGGCCUUCGGGUUGUAAACUUCUUUCGCUAGGGACGAAGCUUUUUGUGACGGUACCUAGAUAAGAAGCACCGGCUAACUACGUG